CAGGGGAUCUUGGGCAAUGGGCGAAAGCCUGACCCAGCGACACCGCGUGGGGGAAGAAGGCCUUCGGGUCGUAAACCCCCUUUCCGGGGGACGAGCAAGGACGGUACCCCGGGAAGAAGCACCGGCUAACUCCGUGCCAGCAGCCGCGGUAAUACGGAGGGUGCAAGCGUUAAUCGGAAUCACUGGGCGUAAAGCGCGCGUAGGCGGUCUGGUCAGUCAGAUGUGAAAGCCCCGGGCUUAACCUGGGAACUGCAUUUGAAACUGCUGGACUAGAGUGUGGUAGAGGGAAGUGGAAAUCCGAGUGUAGCGGUGAAAUUCGUAGAUAUUGGGAAGAACACCGGUUGCGAAGGCGGCCAUCUGGAUCGGAACUGACGCUGAGGUGCGAAAGCGUGGGGAGCGAACAGG
rnacentral:rRNA from 1 species